UGGGGAAUUUUGGACAAUGGGCGAAAGCCUGAUCCAGCAAUGCCGCGUGUGUGAAGAAGGCCUUCGGGUUGUAAAGCACUUUUGUCCGGAAAGAAAUCCUUGGCUCUAAUACAGUCGGGGGAUGACGGUACCGGAAGAAUAAGCACCGGCUAACUACGUGCCAGCAGCCGCGGUAAUACGUAGGGUGCAAGCGUUAAUCGGAAUUACUGGGCGUAAAGCGUGCGCAGGCGGUUUGCUAAGACCGGUGUGAAAUCCCCGGGCUCAACCUGGGAACUGCAUUGGUGACUGGCAGGCUAGAGUAUGGCAGAGGGGGGUAGAAUUCCACGUGUAGCAGUGAAAUGCGUAGAGAUGUGGAGGAAUACCGAUGGCGAAGGCAGCCCCCUGGGCCAAUACUGACGCUCAUGCACGAAAGCGUGGGGAGCAAACAGGAUUAGAUACCCUGGUAGUCCACGCCCUAAACGAUGUCAACUAGUUGUUGGGGAUUCAUUUCCUUAGUAACGUAGCUAACGCGUGAAGUUGACCGCCUGGGGAGUACGGUCGCAAGAUUAAAACUCAAAGGAAUUGACGGGGUCAUAGCUGUUUCCU
rnacentral:rRNA from 1 species